UGCCACCGACCUUAACCGGCGGUGAGCUUUCGGGUGCUUUAAAUUAAAUAUCUCCCCGCUUGGAUCGGAAAACGGCCGAGACGGUAAA
rnacentral:ncRNA from 1 species